rnacentral:sRNA from 1 species
AGAAGCCAACGCCCAGCCCUAAAUUCUAAUCCCUUUCUUUCUUCCUCUCUCCCCACUCCCGUACCCUCUUCUCCCAACCCGUCGCGACGCCGUCUAUUCUUCGUUGCCUCUCUCUCCCGCUGUCUGUUCUUCCAAAAAGCUCUGAUCCGACGGCCAUGAUCUUCUUGUCCUCCAUUCAUACAGCCACUUCUGUAUAUCGUGUUCUCUACAGCUAAAUUUGAUCUUGUAUAUAUGCGUGUGCUGGUAUACCUUGCAAGAGUUUGUUAGAUUUUGGUGCUACAUUUUUUUUGAACUCCUUGUGAAUUGGUUGGAUGAUGAUUUGGGCACGUAAUGCCAAGGAAUUUCAUUACAAGAAUAUUCCUGGAUGUUCUUUUCUGUUUCACCUAUUCCUCACUUUUGUUUUGAAAGAAAGAAGAUCAAAAAGGGAAAUUACAUGACAGUUUAUUCAAGCUGUUUUUGAUUCAUGGAGGCAGGGGUAUGGGUGUGAAUUAAAUCGAUGUACACAGAUUGGCUCUAAUCAAAUUUGAGUUUUGGGACUAGAAGAUUGAUUUGUGUUUUGGGAGUAGAAGAUUGAUUUGUGUUUUGGUUUCAAGCAAUUGUGGGUUCGAGUCGAGUCCCAUUGGACGUGCGAGCAACCUU